AUACGGGAGGCAGCAGUGGGGAAUCUUGCACAAUGGGGGAAACCCUGAUGCAGCGACGCCGCGUGAGCGAUGAAGCCCUUCGGGGUGUAAAGCUCUUUCGGCAGGGAAGAUGAUGACGGUACCUGCAGAAGCAGCUGCGGCUAACUACGUGCCAGCAGCCGCGGUAAUACGUAGGCAGCGAGCGUUGUUCGGAGUUACUGGGCGUAAAGGGUGUGUAGGCGGUCCUUUAAGUUUGGUGUGAAAUCUCCCGGCUCAACUGGGAGGGUGCGCCGGAUACUGAGGGGCUGGAGUGCGGGAGAGGAGAGUGGAAUUCCUGGUGUAGCGGUGAAAUGCGUAGAUAUCAGGAGGAACACCGGCGGUGUAAACGGCUCUCUGGACCGCAACUGACGCUGAGACACGAAAGCGUGGGGAGCAAACAGGAUUAGAUACCCUGGUAGU
rnacentral:rRNA from 1 species